CUUAUUGAUAUUUUUGCGUGGGUGGGUUGAAGUAUUGAUAAAACCAGUAUGAGAUGGGAAUAUCGUCUUCACUAGAGUUGUGUGCAUAGCCAAAGAUAUUUACGGUUUGGUUCAGAUGAGCAUGCAAAAACUGAGAUGCUGAUCCAAACACACUAGAGACUAUAAAAUUAGGUUUUUAGGAGGCUUUCUUGGGAUAUUCCUAUUAUUUGCUCUGCUCAGUCCAGAAAGGUGACAAUAGUAGCCACUCGUGUGAUAAUUUUCCAUUUCCUCUUCUUUUCUUUUCCAGGAGGCUGACGUGGAGAUGCAUGCAACUAUGAAAAACAAUUUUUAAAAAUGAACCCAUUUUUAACAAAUAUUAAGAAAGGAUCUAUUCUAAUGAAGUUCUGGUUGGAGGCAUCGAACUUGGAAGUGUCAUCCCAGCUGCUCUACUGUCAUAUAAGACCCCAUCUCUACAAUGAAAUUGCAUGGGCACACCUGUGACCCUACACAAAAUCCUAUAGACUUCAGGAUUGCUCCGUAUGAGCACAGGGCUUCAGCACUGAUCUCAUUGCAGAGCCUAAAGAUACAGAUUCUGGGCAUCUGAUGGUUGGAAUCUCUUUUAAGGUCUGGAAGCUAUAAAAGAUGUUUUUUUUUUGGCAGCUUUGACUCAUUAAGUGAGUACAAAGUUAUGUUCCCUCCAUUUAUGUCACAUAUUUACAACAUCAUGCUACUGCUAGUAACACUAAAUCAAUCGGAACUUCAUGAGUGGAUAUUUUCUCUUAUGCAUUUGCUUCAGGUAUCUUAAUGAUAUCAAAAUUAAUAAUUAUUAAAAGGAAGGAGCUUGAAUCUCUGAAAAAAAACAGUUAACCCACUAAUCUCACCCAUCUAAAAAUGGUGAUAAGUUUGUACAGUCUUAAAAUUCAGCAAUUAAAGUAUCUUUGGCUAUUUUAAUUAGUCAAGAGAAUAUCAUGUGCUUGGGAGAAAAGUUAUUGUUAUAAAAACUUCAGAACUACGUUUGGACUGUUUUCUGAACCAUGACUGCACUGCUUUCUGACACUCCUGUUGUACCUAAGUAUGUUAAAUAACAUUACAAAUCAACUUAAUAAAAUCACUAAAGAUCCAUAGACA
rnacentral:lncRNA from 1 species